rnacentral:rRNA from 1 species
UACGAAGGGGGCUAGCGGUGCUCGGAAUUACUGGGCGUAAAGGGAGCGUAGGCGGAUAUUUAAGUCGGGGGUGAAAGCCCAGGGCUCAACCCUGGAACUGCCUUCGAUACUGGAUAUCUAGAGUAUGGGAGAGGUGUGUGGAACUCCGAGUGUAGAGGUGAAAUUCGUAGAUAUUCGGAAGAACACCAGUGGCGAAGGCGACACACUGGCCCAUUACUGACGCUGAGGCUCGAAAGCGUGGGGAGCAAACAGG